rnacentral:rRNA from 1 species
GGUUAAGCGACUAAGCGUACACGGUGGAUGCCCAGGCAGUCAGAGGCGAUGAAGGACGUGCUAAUCUGCGUAAAGCGACGGUAAGGUGAUAUGAACCGCUACAGCCGUCGAUGUCCGAAUGGGGAAACCCGGUGCACUCUGUGCAUCAUUGCAGCAUGAAUACAUAGUGCUGCAAGGCGAACCGGGGGAACUGAAACAUCUAAGUACCCCGAGGAAAAGAAAUCAACCGAGAUUCCCCCAGUAGCGGCGAGCGAACGGGGAGCAGCCCAGAGCCUGAAUCAGCUUGUGUGUUAGUGGAAGCGUCUGGAAAGUCGCAGGGUACAGGGUGAUACUCCCGUACACAAAAACACACAUGCUGUGAGCUCGAUGAGUAAGGCGGGACACGUGGUAUCCUGUCUGAAUAUGGGGGGACCAUCCUCCAAGGCUAAAUACUCCUGACUGACCGAUAGUGAACCAGUACCGUGAGGGAAAGGCGAAAAGAACCCCGGCGAGGGGAGUGAAACAGAACCUGAAACCGUGUACGUACAAGCAGUGGGAGCCUUCUUUAUGGGGGUGACUGCGUACCUUUUGUAUAAUGGGUCAGCGACUUAUAUUCUGUAGCAAGGUUAACCGUAUAGGGGAGCCGCAGGGAAACCGAGUCUUAACUGGGCGUUAAGUUGCAGGGUAUAGACCCGAAACCCGGUGAUCUAGCCAUGGGCAGGUUGAAGGUUGGGUAACACUAACUGGAGGACCGAACCGACUAAUGUUGAAAAAUUAGCGGAUGACCUGUGGCUGGGGGUGAAAGGCCAAUCAAACCGGGAGAUAGCUGGUUCUCCCCGAAAGCUAUUUAGGUAGCGCCUCGUGAACUCAUCUUCGGGGGUAGAGCACUGUUUCGGCUAGGGGGCCAUCCCGGCUUACCAACCCGAUGCAAACUGCGAAUACCGAAGAAUGUUAUCACGGGAGACACACGGCGGGUGCUAACGUCCGUCGUGAAGAGGGAAACAACCCAGACCGCCAGCUAAGGUCCCAAAGUCAUGGUUAAGUGGGAAACGAUGUGGGAAGGCACAGACAGCCAGGAUGUUGGCUUAGAAGCAGCCAUCAUUUAAAGAAAGCGUAAUAGCUCACUGGUCGAGUCGGCCUGCGCGGAAGAUGUAACGGGGCUAAACCAUGCACCGAAGCUGCGGCAGCGAC